rnacentral:rRNA from 1 species
ACGAUUAUGGCUCAGAUUGAACGCUGGCGGGAUGCUUUACACAUGCAAGUCGAACGGCAGCACGGACUACGGUCUGGUGGCGAGUGGCGAACAGGUGAGUAAUGUAUCGGAACGUGCCUAGUAGCGGGGGAUAACUACGCGAAAGCGUAGCCUUCUACCAUGCUCGAGGAAAGCAGGGACCUUCGGGCCUCGCACUAUUAGAGCGGCCGAUAUCGGAUUAGCUAGUUGGUGGGGUAACGGCUCACCAAGGCGACGAUCCGUAGCUGGUUUGAGAGGACGACCAGCCACACUGGGACUGAGACACGGCCCAGACUCCUACGAGGCAGCAGUGGGGAAUUUUGGACAAUGGGGGAAACCCUGAUCCAGCCAUCCGCAUUGAUGAAGGCCUUCGGGUUGUAAAGCACUUUUGGCAGGAAAAACGGCACGGGAUAAUACCCCGUGCAACUGACAGUACCUGCAGAAUAAGCACAUAAGCUAACUACGUGCUAGCAGCCGCUUGUUGUGCAAUAAGGUGCAAGCGUUAAUCGAAAUUACUGGGCGUAAAGCGUGCGCAGGCGGUUCGGAAGAAAAGAUGUGAAAUCCCAGAGCUUAACUUUGGAACUGCAUUUUUAACUACUGAGCUAGAGUGUGUCAGAGGGAGGUGGAAUUCCGCGUGUAGCAGUGAAAUGCGUAGAUAUGGAGGGAACACCGAUGGUGAAGGCAGCUCUGGGAUAACACUGGCGCUCAUGCCUGAAAAGCGUGGGGAGCAAACAGGAUUAGAUACCCUGGUAGUCCACGCCCUAAACGAUGUCAACUAGCUGUUGGGGCCUUCGGGCCUUGGUAGCGCAGCUAACGCGUGAAGUUGACCGCCUGGGGAUACGGUCGCAAGAUUAAAACUCAAAGGAAUUGACGGGGACCCGCACAAGCGGUGUGAUGUGGAUUAAUUCGAUGCAACGCGAAAACCUUACCUACCCUUGACAUGUCUGGAAUCCCAGAGAUUUAGGAGUGCUCGCAAGAGAACCGGAACACAGGUGCUGCAUGGCUGUCGUCAGCUCAUAUUGAUGGAUGUUGGUUGAAGUCCCGCAGCGAGCGCAGCCCUUGUCAUUAGUUGCUGAGGGCCAUCAAUGAGACUGUCGGUGACAAACCGGAGGAAGGUGGGGAUGACGUCAAGUCCUCUUGGCCCUUAUGGAGUAGGCUUCACACGUCAUACAAUGGUCGGGACAGAGGUCGCCAACCCGCGAGGGAGCCAAUCCCAAACUGAUCGUAGUCCGGAUCGCAGUCUGCAACUCGACUGCGUGAAGUCGGAAUCGCUAGUAAUCGCGGAUCAGCAUGUCGCGGUGAAUACGUUCGGGUCUUGUACACACCGCCCGUCACACCAUGGGAGUGGGUUUUACCAGAAGUACCGGUUAACUAACCGUAAGGAGGGCGAUUACCACGGUAGAAGUUCAUGACUGGGGUGAAGUCGUAACAAGGUAA